rnacentral:rRNA from 1 species
UCCGUAGGUGAACCUGCGGAGGGAUCAUUACCGAGUUUACAACUCCCAAACCCCUGUGAACAUACCUAUCGUUGCUUCGGCGGGAUGCCCCAGUUUUGACUUAAAACUGGACCCAGGCGCCCGCCGGAGGACCCAAACUCUUGUUUUUAUAUGUAUCUUCUGAGUAAACAAGCAAAUAAAUUAAAACUUUCAACAACGGAUCUCUUGGUUCUGGCAUCGAUGAAGAACGCAGCGAAAUGCGAUAAGUAAUGUGAAUUGCAGAAUUCCGUGAAUCAUCGAAUCUUUGAACGCACAUUGCGCCCGCCAGUAUACUGGCGGGCAUGCCUGUUCGAGCGUCAUUUCAACCCUCAAGCCCCCGGGCUUGGUGUUGGGGCUCGGCCCGUCCCUAGCGGAUGCGCCGUCCCCGAAAUCUAGUGGCGGUCUCGCUGUAGCCUCCUCUGCGUAGUAGCUAACACCUCGCAAUGGGAACGCAGCGCGGCCACGCCGUUAAACCCCCCACUUCUGAAGGUUGACCUCGGAUCAGGUAGGAAUACCCGCUGAACUUAAGCAUAUCAAUAAGCGGAGGA